AUGGACGAAAGUCUGAUGGAGCAACGCCGCGUGAGUGAAGAAGGGUUUCGGCUCGUAAAACUCUGUUGUUAAAGAAGAACAUAUCUGAGAGUAACUGUUCAGGUAUUGACGGUAUUUAACCAGAAAGCCACGGCUAACUACGUGCCAGCAGCCGCGGUAAUACGUAGGUGGCAAGCGUUGUCCGGAUUUAUUGGGCGUAAAGCGAGCGCAGGCGGUUUUUUAAGUCUGAUGUGAAAGCCUUCGGCUUAACCGAAGAAGUGCAUCGGAAACUGGGAAACUUGAGUGCAGAAGAGGACAGUGGAACUCCAUGUGUAGCGGUGAAAUGCGUAGAUAUAUGGAAGAACACCAGUGGCGAAGGCGGCUGUCUGGUCUGUAACUGACGCUGAGGCUCGAAAGUAUGGGUAGCAAACAGGAUUAGAUACCCUGGUAGUCCAUACCGUAAACGAUGAAUGCUAAGUGUUGGAGGGUUUCCGCCCUUCAGUGCUGCAGCUAACGCAUUAAGCAUUCCGCCUGGGGAGUACGGCCGCAAGGCUGAAACUCAAAGGAAUUGACGGGGGCCCGCACAAGCGGUGGAGCAUGUGGUUUAAUUCGAAGCUACGCGAAGAACCCUUACCAGGUCU
rnacentral:rRNA from 2 species